rnacentral:rRNA from 2 species
AGGUGCGAUCAUACCAUCACUAAUGCACUGGAUCCCAUUAGAACUCCACAGUUAAGUGUGCUUGGGAAAGAGGAGUACUAGGAUGGGUGACCUCCUGGGAAGUCCUCGUGUUGCACCUU